rnacentral:rRNA from 1 species
UACGUAGGGUGCGAGCGUUGUCCGGAAUUAUUGGGCGUAAAGAGCUUGUAGGUGGUUUGUCGCGUCUGCUGUGAAAAUCCGAGGCUCAACCUCGGACUUGCAGUGGGUACGGGCAGACUAGAGUGUGGUAGGGGAGAUUGGAAUUCCUGGUGUAGCGGUGGAAUGCGCAGAUAUCAGGAGGAACACCGAUGGCGAAGGCAGAUCUCUGGGCCGUUACUGACGCUGAGGAGACGAAAGCGUGGGGAGCGAACAGG